AGCGAACGCUGGCGGCAGGCUUAACACAUGCAAGUCGAGCGGGCACUUUCGGGUGUCAGCGGCGGACGGGUGAGUAACGCGUGGGAACGUGCCCUCUGGUUCGGAAUAACUCAGGGAAACUUGAGCUAAUACCGGAUACGCCCUUUUGGGGAAAGGCUUGCUGCCGGAGGAUCGGCCCGCGUCUGAUUAGCUAGUUGGUGAGGUAACGGCUCACCAAGGCGACGAUCAGUAGCUGGUCUGAGAGGAUGAUCAGCCACACUGGGAAUGAGACACGGCACAGACUCCUACGGGAGGCAGCAGUGGGGAAUAUUGGACAAUGGGCGCAAGACUGAUCCAGCCAUGCCGCGUGAGUGAUGAAGGCCUUAGGGUUGUAAAGCUCUUUUAUCCGGGACGAUAAUGACGGUACCGGAGGAAUAAGCCCCGGCUAACUUCGUG
rnacentral:rRNA from 1 species